rnacentral:rRNA from 1 species
UUAGAGGAAGUAAAAGUCGUAACAAGGUUUCCGUAGGUGAACCUGCGGAAGGAUCAUUAACGAUUGCUACUAACGCAAAAAAAAAAAAGAAANGGACAAAGACAUGGUUAAAGCUAACACUCCUGACGAGUUCAGGUAGUGUGUGAUGAUGAUGAUGAUGAUGCCUCUCUCUCUCUCGCGCUAGCGAAGAGCAAAGGGCCAUCUUGGUCGCUACGUGCUGUUGCACUGUGCGGACGAUGUAAAACAAACAACCUUUGGACUCUCUCACAAAAAUGCAGUACAAGAUAUGUCGACACGUAUGGUAAAUGCUAGCACUCCUGACUAGUUCAGGGAGUGUGAUGAUGAUGAUGAUGAUGAUGAUGCUUCUCUCGCGCUAGCGAAGAACAAAAGGACAUCGUGGUCUCUACGUGCUGUUGCACUGCGCGGACGAUGUAAAACAAACAACCGUUGGGGUCUCUCACAAAAAUGCAGUAAAAGAUGAUAUGUCGACACGUAUGGUAAAUGCUAACACUCCUGACGAGAUCAUGGAGUGUGAUGAUGAUGCCUCUCUCGCGCUAGCGAAGAGCAAAAGGCCAUCGUGGUCGCUACGUGCUGCUGGCACUGCGCGGACGAUGUAAAACAAACAAACGAUGGCCUCUUAUAUUUUGCAAACAAUCUAUCGCCAUGGCAUACAGGCCUGGCUCUGGUACGAGUCUCUCGCAGUCUCAAAACCAACCUUACAACUCUGAGCGGUGGAUCACUUGGCUUGUGGAUGCUAUGAAGACCAUAGCUAAGUGUGAGAAUGGCAGCGAGCCGUCGCUAUAUGCGCUGUCCUCUUCUUAUCACAUGUCGAAUGCACAUUGCGCCCCACCCAGCGGUCGGCUAACCUCCUGCAGACAAAAGCCUGUGUGCUUGGAGCAAAGGUUGAUGUGUGGCCCUCGAGCAACGGCGGGGGAGCCAGGAGCACAUUGACGUGCGUUCCAGCCACUCGUGAGUAGUCAGGCUGAACCCCAUGGUGGGGCACUCCUAGUCGAGUGUGGUGGAUCGGGCUCUUCUCCUAUCGUGCUUUUUUUUUUACGCGAAGGAGCUUGAGUUUCUUUGUUGCUGGUGGCUAUUCUGGUCGACAUCAGUCGUGCCUGUAAAAACCUGCCUUGGCUCGUGCCUCUGUGCGUUUAACUUACGCGGUUGCGCAUAUCGAAAGGCCAUAGCUGGCGAUCACUCGUGCGGCCAGGGCUACACCUUAUGCCAGGUUCCUUUUAGGAUAAUGGCCGGUGUAGCGCAGAGGUCCAAAAGUUCGGAAUACGUUAACGUUCGAGAGACGGGUCUGUGUUUCUCAGUCUCGCUCAUGCACAGCGAGUGGUGUACGAUACUUAACCAAACAUGCUUGUCACUCACUCACUCAAUCAGCCGCCCGUCCUACUCACGCGAUUAUCCGGCCAUGGCUCGUUUCUCUUACUAUCCGAGAACGACACACGAGACCUACAUCUUUCGUUCACGCUGGUUGUCCGACAAACGCCUGACGAGUUCAGGAAGGAUUUUCCACGUGUGGAUGGAGUAACGGAUUUGACGCGCAGUAUCGUACCACUCCCUUCACUGUGUGUCUGCGAAGAAUUGAAUCAGACCCGCCAUCUCGACUUUGCAUAUGUAUGCCACCACCUCGACUUAGGAGAGGAUACCCGCUGAACUUAAGCAUAUCAGUAAGCGGAGGAAAAGAAACCAAUCAGGGAUUCCCUUAGUAGGGGCGACCGAAAAGGGAUGAGCCCAGCGCAGAACCUCCCGGGCCACCCGGCCUGCGGCGGAAUGUUGCGUUAAGGGAAAGGUCGUAGUCAAACCCCACAGCCACGCGAGCACUAAGUAAGUCACGAAUUGGCUAUCCCAACUAACGGAGGGAGCAUCUCCACGGAGGGUGUCAGACCCGUGUGGGCGCGUGUAAAUGCUGUGUGGGCUCGGCCUCUUUUCCCUGAGAGUCGCGUUGCUUGAGCAUGCAGCGCUAAGCAGGUCGUAAACUCGAUCUAAGGCUAAAUAUGUCCACAAGACCGAUAGUGAACAAGUACCGUGAGGGAAAGUUGAAAAGCACUCUGAAGAGAGAGUCAAAAGACCGUGAAACCGCUC